GAAAGAAAAAAAGGAAUGUGGAGCCCAGGUCUAGGUCAUUCUGCCAAUAAAGGAGGGAGAUUUGCAGUCAGAGGUAGAGGAGAGGGAGAAUAUUAACCAUUAGAAGUGCCUGGAAAUUACAAAAGACCUCAGCAACGUCUGUGACAAAGUGGCCACUGUGGCCAAAAGCUACUGCACUUGACAGUGACCACUGUUUCCAGCACUCUGAAAUAUUCCCUCCAUGUGGCUGGAGCUCUGAGAAAGGCUUUGCUGUGUGUUUGGGGAGCUGUCCCAGACAGAUGGCACAGGUUGGCUGAGACUGCCAAAACUGGAUGGGGACCAGCUUCUUGCAAGGAGUGCAGAUCUUGCAGUCUAAUGAGCUGAUCUUGGCUCCCUGGAAGACUGACUGUGUGGCCAAAGCAAGGAUUGCCUUUCUGGGCUUCAUGACACCGCUCUCCAGGAGCAGGGGUAUUAAAUCAUUAGACUGCCUUUGCAUAGGCAUCGUUUGGGCCUUGCUUAAGCUUCCCCUGAGCCAGUUUACUGUCACCUUCUCAAGCCAUUACAAUUUCCCACCCUGGCCUAACUCAGCCCUUUGGUCACAGUUCCGCAUUAAGAAAGGCUUCCAAAUCCACGUCACUUUGAAUUUGAAAUGGCAGUAAGUGACACAAAUUGAUGAUACAUCAAACUCUAGUCCUUGGUGUGGGCCAAUUCCUAAUUCAAAAUAGGAAUGUCCCCAAAAUCUCAUUCUCUUUUAUAAAAAACUCACAAGAUUUUCCUAGCUGGGAACAGGCCAGAAGUGCUGUGGGAAACUACUAUUAAGCCAAUUUUGUAGUAAGUAAAUAGUCAAAAGACAGAGAAAGUGGCCAAAACCAUUGCUUCUCCCAUUCAGAAACCACAUCUGUUAUAAUACUAUUAGGGCAGCACAACACAUUAAAGAGCUAAGGAACUCACUCUACUGUGGACACACUCCCUUUCCUAAUACACCACGGGCAUCACUCAUGAAAUAAAAUGAUGGAAUCAAUACUUUGUCAUACUUGUUUAGCUUCUUUGGGGAGAGCAAAUGUUUUUCCCCACCA